AGAGUUUGAUCCUGGCUCAGGACGAACGCUGGCGGCGUGCCUAAUACAUGCAAGUAGAACGCUGAAGGAGGAGCUUGCUUCUCUGGAUGAGUUGCGAACGGGUGAGUAACGCGUAGGUAACCUGCCUGGUAGCGGGGGAUAACUAUUGGAAACGAUAGCUAAUACCGCAUAAGAGUGGAUGUUGCAUGACAUUUGCUUAAAAGGUGCACUUGCAUCACUACCAGAUGGACCUGCGUUGUAUUAGCUAGUUGGUGGGGUAACGGCUCACCAAGGCGACGAUACAUAGCCGACCUGAGAGGGUGAUCGGCCACACUGGGACUGAGACACGGCCCAGACUCCUACGGGAGGCAGCAGUAGGGAAUCUUCGGCAAUGGACGGAAGUCUGACCGAGCAACGCCGCGUGAGUGAAGAAGGUUUUCGGAUCGUAAAGCUCUGUUGUAAGAGAAGAACGAGUGUGAGAGUGGAAAGUUCACACUGUGACGGUAUCUUACCAGAAAGGGACGGCUAACUACGUGCCAGCAGCCGCGGUAAUACGUAGGUCCCGAGCGUUGUCCGGAUUUAUUGGGCGUAAAGCGAGCGCAGGCGGUUAGAUAAGUCUGAAGUUAAAGGCUGUGGCUUAACCAUAGUAGGCUUUGGAAACUGUUUAACUUGAGUGCAAGAGGGGAGAGUGGAAUUCCAUGUGUAGCGGUGAAAUGCGUAGAUAUAUGGAGGAACACCGGUGGCGAAAGCGGCUCUCUGGCUUGUAACUGACGCUGAGGCUCGAAAGCGUGGGGAGCAAACAGGAUUAGAUACCCUGGUAGUCCACGCUGUAAACGAUGAGUGCUAGGUGUUAGACCCUUUCCGGGGUUUAGUGCCGUAGCUAACGCAUUAAGCACUCCGCCUGGGGAGUACGACCGCAAGGUUGAAACUCAAAGGAAUUGACGGGGGCCGCACAAGCGGUGGAGCAUGUGGUUUAUUUCGAAGCAACGCGAAGAACCUUACCAGGUCUUGACAUCCCUCUGACCGCUCUAGAGAUAGAGCUUUCCUUCGGGACAGAGGUGACAGGUGGUGCAUGGUUGUCGUCAGCUCGUGUCGUGAGAUGUUGGGUUAAGUCCCGCAACGAGCGCAACCCCUAUUGUUAGUUGCCAUCAUUUAGUUGGGCACUCUAGCGAGACUGCCGGUAAUAAACCGGAGGAAGGUGGGGAUGACGUCAAAUCAUCAUGCCCCUUAUGACCUGGGCUACACACGUGCUACAAUGGCUGGUACAACGAGUCGCAAGCCGGUGACGGCAAGCUAAUCUCUUAAAGCCAGUCUCAGUUCGGAUUGUAGGCUGCAACUCGCCUACAUGAAGUCGGAAUCGCUAGUAAUCGCGGAUCAGCACGCCGCGGUGAAUACGUUCCCGGGCCUUGUACACACCGCCCGUCACACCACGAGAGUUUGUAACACCCGAAGUCGGUGAGGUAACCGUAAGGAGCCAGCCGCCUAAGGUGGGAUAGAUGAUUGGGGUGAAGUCGUAACAAGGUAGCCGUAUCGGAAGGUGCGGCUGGAUCACCU
rnacentral:rRNA from 1 species